GCUGGGUGUGGUGGUGGGCACCUGUAAUCCCAGCUACUUGGGAGGCUGAGGCAGGAGAAUUGCUUGAACCCAGGAGGCAGAGGUUGCAGUGAGCUGAGAUCUUGCCACUGCACUCUAGCCUGAGUGAGAAAGCGAGACUCUGUCUCAA
rnacentral:SRP_RNA from 1 species